UACGUAUGGUGCAAGCGUUAUCCGGAUUUACUGGGUGUAAAGGGUGCGUAGGUGGUGAGACAAGUCUGAAGUGAAAAUCCGGGGCUUAACCCCGGAACUGCUUUGGAAACUGCCUGACUGGAGUACAGGAGAGGUAAGUGGAAUUCCUAGUGUAGCGGUGAAAUGCGUAGAUAUUAGGAGGAACACCAGUGGCGAAGGCGACUUACUGGACUGGUACUGACACUGAGGCACGAAAGCGUGGGGAGCAAACAGG
rnacentral:rRNA from 1 species